rnacentral:rRNA from 1 species
GUUGGUGGUUUUGACUGCACCUAAUCUCACCUGAUCUCAGAAGCUAAACAAGGUUGGGCCUGGUUAGUACUUAGAUGGGAACUAGGCCUACUGUGCCGAUCGUACAUGUCCGGUCUUUGAAAAUUAGGUCAGCU